CCGGGAAAAAUUAAUUCAGUAAGCGGAGGAAAAGAAACUAACCAGGAUUCUCCUAGUAACGGCGAGUGAACGGAGAUUAGCCCAUCACCGAAGUCUAUUCACUUUUGUGGACAGGACAAUGUGGUGUUAGGGCAUGCACCUGGGUAGAGCUUGCCUACUCGAAGUCCAUCUCCGAUUAUGGCUUUGACUUGGCCCAAAGCGGGUGAAAGGCCCGUACGGGUAGGCUGUGAUUUUAAGCUCUCCUCAGAUGUGUAUGCCUUCGAGUCGGAUUGCUUGAGAAUGCAGUCCAAAGUGGGUGGUAAACUCCAUCCAAGGCUAAAUACUGGCACGAGUCCGAUAGUAGACAAGUACCGUGAGGGAAAGUUGAAAAGUACUCUGAAGAGAGAGUAAAGAGCACGUGAAGCCGCUUGCAGGGAAGCUGGUGGAGUCAAGCUUCUUGUCUGGAGGAUUGUCGUCAGAGGGCUGUUGUUGCGGGACGUGACGCGGGUGAACCUGGAAACGGUUUGCUGCACCUAAAUGCAGUUCAAGUCGCCCCGGGCAGAGUGUUUGUGCCUGCGUCUAUCUCCCACCUCUGGUGCUUUAUUCUCCGUGACAUACAUCACGGUCAAUAGUGGUAAUUCUCGUACUGCGUGAGUGCUUAACCGUGCUUUGGUGGACUUAACCGUCUGCUGGGCAUGGAAUGGCAGAAGGCAUGUGCUGGUCUCGGCCAUCACUAUGCGUUGCUGGUUUUGACCUGCUAGUGCUCAUGUUCAGUAUCGACCCUAUUGUUGUUUUGCGGUGCGUUCUCCUCGGAGUGCGUAUCACUGACAACCGUGAUGCUGAGGUAGACUUUCCACCCGACCCGUCUUGAAAAACGGACCAAGUAUUUUCGGACCAAUC
rnacentral:rRNA from 1 species